AAACCCAAAAAGAACAGAAAGAAAAACCGCAGUGCAGUUCACUCUCUGGCUCAGGAAAUUCCAAUGUUAAUGAAGUUGUCUGGGAAGGGGAGGGGAGGGUUCAGGUAAAUAGGAGAGAGUAGCACCCCAGAAUAUAGACAAAGUUACUUAUCUUGCUGGGGAUGACUGUUUUAUGUGAGAUUCCCGAGGGGCGUGUCGACUGUGUGCCCGGGCUGGGUAGAGAUUGCCCCCGAGGGUCAGGCCCGCGUCCUGUGCUUGUGCUGUCUCAGAAGCCGUGGUCAGUUCCUCUGCUCCCAGUCCAAAGUCCAGUGCCAAGAUUCCCCGGCUGGGACGCCACACCCCUGGCUCCAAAACCAGUCGCUGCCUCCCGGCAACUUCUCCUCCUUUCAGCUGCGUUGCUGCGCUGCCUGCGUGCACUGGCUGGGCUUCCCCCGAGGUCAGUUCAGGGGGCUAGGACUGUGCCCCGUGUUUGCGCUGUCUUAGGAUGCCGUGCUCAGCUCCCCUGCGCCUAGUCCAAAGCGCGGCGCCAAGGUUUUCUGACUGGGACGCUGGCUCCAGGCUCUGAAAACAGUCGCUGCUUCCCCGUGGUUGUUCGUUCUCAGUCUCUGUCACUCAGGUCAACUCUUUAGAUCUGUGUUUGAUAGGGUUCGUAGAUUGUCAUGUGUGUGAUCGAUUCACUUGUUUUUCCAAGUCUUUGUUGCAAGAGGGAUCCGAGGUAGCUUCUACCUCGUCAGCCAUCUUGGCCCCCUGGUCUAAUUUUUAAAUUUUUUAUGGGAAUAAUUUCAAAUUUACAGAAAAUGUACAAGAAAAGCACGAAGAACACCCAUAUACACCCUGGUCAGAUUUACUUAGUGUUAAUAUAUUUUCACAUUGCUAAUAUUUACAUAUUGUUAACAUUUAAAUGUUUUAACAUUUGAUAACUCUUCCCCUCUCUCCCUCUCUCCAAAUACACAACAAAUUUUUCCUGUCGUUUGAGAGUUAGUUGCAUACAUCAUUGUCGUAGUACCUCAGGGUGUAUUGGAUAAAAAUAGGGAUAUUCUCUUACAUAACACAGUACAUUUAUUGACAUCAGUAAAUUUAACAUUGAUAUUAACACUUUAAUCUAUGGUCCAUUUUCCAAUUUUGACAAUUUACUCAGUAAUGCCCUUGAUAGCAUUAUUUCCCCUCCAGUACAGGAUUCAUUCAAGGAUCAUAUAUUCAUUCAAUCAAGAGUUACGACUCUUUCAUAUUUUUUAGCUGGAAGAGUUCCUCAGCCUUUUAUGACUUCAAAUUUUUUUAAGACUACAGUCCCCUUCUUUUAAGUAGAAUGUUCCCCAUUUUGGGUUUGUCAGAUAUUUCUCCAAGAUUAAAUUCAGGAAGGAUGCCUGAUAGGAAUACUACAGGUAGUCCCCGACUUAUAACAUAUUCAAGCUGCGAUGAACCACACUUAAUGAAUGUCUUUUUUUGUUUUUUGUACAUCUUAUCAGUAAUAUGUAUUACAUACAAUGUUAAAAUAUAUCUUAAGUUUAUAUGUAAUGUUUCCAACCCCCGAAGACAAAGAAAUGGAUUUACAGAUACCGAUAAUAAAAGGCAAUAAUAAUGAAAACUAAAAAAAAAAAAAAAAGCCUUUAACUUAUAUCAGAUCCAACUUAUGAUGGAGUCAUCCAGACGGAACCCUGCUGUAAGUCAGAGAUUACCUGUCCAUAAGUGAUGUGUCCUUAAAGCAUUACAUCUGGAGGCAUGUGAUUUCUUUGUUCGUUCUUCUUUGGUGAUGAUCAAGGUGUGGUCCAGUUUCUCAAUGAUAUGUUUACUGUAUUUUCUCCUUGCAUUUAAUAAGCAAUCUUAAAUGAUGAGCUUUUUAAGACAAUGCAAAUAUCUUACAUCUCAUCAAAAUUGUUCUAGAUUUAACAGCCACUGGCAUUUCUUAUGAUAUUCCAAAGAUUUAGAUUUUAUAAUUUAAAUCACGGAAUGUCAUAAAUCUAAUAUGAAAUCUAAUCAUUUUGUUCACACGUAGAGUCAUAUUCUAGUGAUGAAAAUCAUUAUAGAGCUGCUUACACUUAGCCACCAAAAGACAGACUGUCAUCUAAGAAGUCUAUUGUUGCUAGUUAAAAUUUAUCAAUUGAAAAAAAUCAGCUAUCCAUCUGUCUUAGUUACCUAGUGCUGCUAUAACAGAAAUACAAGUGGAUGGCUUUAACAAUGAGAAAUUUAUUUUCUCAGUCUAGUAGGCUAGAAGUCCAAAUUCAGGGUGUCAGGUCCAGGGGAUGGCUUUUUCUCUCUGUCGGCUCUGGAGAAGGUCUUUCUUAUCAAUCUUCCCUUGGACUAGGAGCUUCUCCACACAGGAACCCUGGGUCCAAAGGACAUAGUCUGCUCCCGUUGCUGCUGCUUUCUUGGUGGUAUGUGGUCCCCCUGUCUCUCCUCUGCUCGCUUCUCUCUUUUAUAUCUCAAAAGAGAUUGGCUCAAGACACAAUCCAGUAUUGUAGAUUGAGUCCUGCCUCACUAAUGUAACUACCGCGUACCCCACCUCGUUAACAUCAUAGAGGUAGGAUUUACAACACAUAGGAAGAUCACAUCAGAUGACAAAAUGGUGGGGAAUCACUCAAUACUAGGAAUCGUGGGCUGACCAGAUUGAUACACAUAUAUUUGAGGGACACAACUCAGUCCAUGACAACAUCACAGAACAGUUUAAAGCAUUUUAAUAAAUUCUUGCUUUGUAAACUUAAAAGUUUUCCUUUGGUGGCCCAGUUUAAACAGCAUAUUGCCUAUUUUUUUUUUUUUUUUUAAAUCUUGUUAGAAAUACACAUUAAACGAAGCUUUGAAGAUAGACUUUUCCUGAAAAAGAAUACCUAAGCAUUGGGUCUAAACACAGAAAAGUUUCCAAUUUUUUUUUGGUUGUGUUAGGAUACUUUUAACAUGGUGUUUGAGAUUUCUUGAUGUCUUUUGCCCUAGGUAUUUCUUUUUGUGAUAAUUCAACUUCAUCAAUACCAAAACCAAAACCAAACCCAGUCCCGUCGAGUCGAUUCCGACCCAUAGUGACCAUAUAGUGACCCUAUAGGACAGAGUAGAACUGCCCCGUAGAGUUUCCAAGGAGCGCCUGGCGGAUUUGAACUGCCGACCCUUUGGUUAGCAGCUGUAGCACUUCAACACUACACCACCAGGGUUUCCACUUCCUCCAUAUUUCAUGUUAAUUGUCACAUUCUUCCAUCUGUGCCUUUUUCUUUCACGCUGACGCUUCUCCUCUGCUAACAUUUUCCUGUCACAUCUGGCUACAAGGAAGAGAAACCAAAGCUGUAGAGGUCAGAGGUCCUUGUCAGAGGCCUUAUUUUAAUGGAAACGUCACUUGUGUCAAAGAAUUUGAAUGGUGUUUGGAGUCAGUUCUUCAGGGAGAAGUGUGUAUAUUAUUCUUUUUAACUUAGUUCAUAGUACGCUGAGUAAUUUUCUAACUGCAUCAAGGUGAAUAAACAUGCAGUCGUAUGCUUUGUGAUAAUGUAAUUUAAGAAAUGAAGCAAGUGUUUAUAGGGUGCCUACUGUGUACUUGACACUGUGCUAUUUUAGUUGUAUAGUAUUCAUUCCCACAAAAAGCUUAAGUCUUUUGGGGGAUAUAAGGCAAUCACAAGAAAUAUUAGAUAAUACAGCACCACUGAGUACCACUAGCUUAGGGGUUCAAAUAGGGCUACCACUUUGAAAGGGCUGUGCUUUAAAAUCAUUCCCAGAGUGUGUUAUUUAUCAAUUGCUGUGUAACAAACAGUCUCAAAAUUUAGCAGCUUAAAACAACAAACAAUUAUUAUCUAACAAUGUUUCGAGGGUCUGAAAUAUAGGAGUGGCUUAGCUGGGUGAUUUUGGCUUAGCGUUUCUUCUUGAGGUUGCAGCAAGUUGUUGGCCAGGCUUGACUGGGAUCAGAAAAUCUGCUUUCAAGUUCCCCAUGUUGUUGUUGGCAGGCCUCAGUUCUAUUAUGACUGUUGUCUGGAGAUUUCAGCUCCUCAAUGUGGGGACCUCCACAUAGGGCUGCUCACAACAGGACAGCUUACCUCCCCCAGAAUGAGUGAUCUAAGGGAGAGAGAGAGUGAUUGCCCAAGGUGGAAGCCGCAGUGUUUUCAAUAACCUAAUGUCAGAAGUACCAUAACAUCACUUCUGACAUAUGCUAUUUAUUGGCUACACAGACCAAUCCUAGUAAAAUGUGGAGGAGACUACACAAAAGUGUGAAUUCCAGGAAGCGGGGCUUAUCAGGGACCAUCUUGAAGGGUAUCUACCAUACAGAGGCAGGCCAGCACAAAGGAAGCAUUUCUACUCACUCAGGACAGUUGUUACGGGAGCCCUGGUGGUGCAGUGGUUAUGCUCUCGGCUGUGAACCAAAAGAUCACUGGUUCCAACCCACCAGCCAUACGGUGGGAGAAAGAUGCUGUAGUCUUCUUCCGUAAAGAUUAUGGAAACCCUCUGGAACAGUUCUACUCUGUCCUGUAGGACGAUGAGUUGGAAUUGACUUCAUGGAAACAGAUUGUUUUUGGUUAAGAUAGCUGUUAAAAUCUGUUUCUGUGUGCCCACUGAAAGGGGUCAAAGAUUUUUAUCUGCUGGCAGCUGGGCCAUUGAUAGUGGUCUGCUUAGAGCCUUGGUGAAUGGCUGGGUGAGAGAGUCUUAAUUUCAAGAAUCUUGGGGAGGUGUGUACAACUCACAGUAGCAGGAAAUUCCAAAUAUAAGAUUUGAACCAUCCUUUUGAUCUUGUCUCUCUCUAGCUACAUAGCCUUAGCCUAAUAAACCUACUUCAUCCCUGAAUAUUUAUUGCACCCCGGGGCUACAAUAACUAAGUCAAACCUGUUGCCAACAAGUUGAUUCAGACUCAUAGAAACCCUACAGGACACAGUAGAACUGCCCCAUAGGGCUUCAAGGAGUGGCUGGUGGAUUCCAUCUGCCCACCUUUCAGUUAGCAGCUAAACUCUUAACCACUGUGCCACCAGGACUCCUGGGCAUACAAAAGUGAACAAUGUAGAAGGGAUUUUGACUUUUACAGAACUUUCAGUGUGGUUAGGUGAGAUACAGAUUAAACAACUAAUUUCACAGGUAGUCAUUAAAAAAAAAAAAAAUUAAAAAAAUUUUUUUUUCUUUUCAUUUAAUUACCAUUGUGAUAAUGGCAACUUUUUUUUUCCUGAAUGCAUGGAAAGUGUCAGCUCCUGGUCUGGGAUACGAGGUCACCUUGGAGCAGAUCUUCAGAGGCCUCUUAGUUAUGCAAAGGUAAAAUGAGAGAAUAACAGUUACCUUGGCUUUAGAAUACAACAAGGCCUUUGGGGAGGGGGGAGAGGGACAUUGCUUGCACACUCUGAUUCCUUUAUUGAUGUGAUGAACUCUACACAUGAUCUCACAUAACUUAACCUUCAGGUUCUGGGAGUCUUAUAAUUAGAGAAGUUUGUUUCUGUUCAGGACGCAAUUUCUGCUUUAGUCAGUAAAAAAAAAAAAAAAAGUAGGCACAUUUAAAAAAUGAAUUAAUAAUCCAUGAAAGAUAUUGAUGCUUGGACAAUUAGUUUAUUUAAUAUUUCAUAGGUUUCACAUGCUGUACUUUGUUCGUAUUAAAAAACCAAACUCAGUUGAAAUUUUAGUCUUUUUUUAGUUCAUUAAGUUUUUAUCACAAACUUUAUGAGUUUAUUGGUUAUAAUUCUUGCUUUCUUCUGUGAUUGUGUCAUGAUCAUGCCUGAAGUUGUCAUCUUUUGAUUGAGAUAGUUUUUGUGUACUUAGCAUAGGAGGAAUGUUUCCACAUCUUGAAAUAAAUAUACUUUUCACAUUUUUAUUCAAACACAGAUGCUUGGUCUAUCUUUCAUUCUCCCAUGUAAGAGACAUGUGUAAACAUGUGUAAAGAAAUAGCUCACUCCUCUUGACUCUUCAAAAGGAAAAAUAACAGUGCAGCCGUAGGGAUAAGUAGCAACUGACACUUGACUUCAAGGUAGGACGCCACCAGGGGGUGGCAGGGACGGUGGCAAACUGGAGGGCGUGUGCCUCGUCUAAAGGAGCAGCUGCUGUUCUGCUUCAGCCCAUUUUUCCCAUUUGAGAAUGUGAGCCCAGUUUUGGAAGCUCUUCCAAUUUUCUGGAGAAGCUAUAACUCUAUAUCUUUAUGUGAAAUCUCCUAGCAUUUAGAAGUCAAUCUUAAAACAAACAAGAAAAAAAAACAAAAAACCAGCAUUGUUUGAGUCAAAUAAAACACAUCUGCAGACUGAAUUUGACUUGUGGGCUGCCACAAACUGGGGACUAAUAGUACGUGGGAAAGACCAGCACAGUUACCAGAAGUUGCAGCAUGGUGUGAUGGUUUGGGAAAUGAUGGCUCUGCACGUGAGGGUAAACCCUGUCUGGGACACUGUUAAAUUCUGUAAAACCUGAAUCAACAAGAAUGAGGCAGCUGCUAUGGACACGUUUUAUCCAUCGAAGUCUUUAGGACCAGUCCUGUGUAGUGAUGCCAACAGUGAGAAGUGAUGCAUUGGCUGGCUAUACAAACUAAUCACCUUUUGGACUGAUUAAGCUUUUUUUUUAAGCUGCAGUGUGCCUGGACAAUUUAGGGCAAAACCUCAAGAAGGCGAUAGUGAACUUCCUUCUUAAUGGCGUUGGUGACUUCUUGGGCAGUUAAUUGAAGGGAGAGAGAGAGAGAAUGAGAGAAAAGAGAGAAGGGGGAUAAGGGAGGGGAAGGAGUGGAGACAGGAGAGGGAGGGAAGAAGAUGAGAGGUGACAAAUGCCACAAAGGAGACAGGAGAGGGAGAGAAGGAGAUGAGAGGUGACAAGCGCCAUGAAGGUGGGAAGCCUCACUGUGAAAAUGAGUUAAAGCUGAGAUAUGAAAGGUGAGAAGCAGUUAACCAGGCAAACGGCAGGGAAAGAGACUCCAGGUAGAGGGAACAGUAUUUGUGCUGGCCUCGAGGUGGAAAGGUCAUGGUGUAUUUGAGGAAACCAAAAACACACAGAAAGAGGGUGGUAUUGUAAAGGGUCUUAAAGGCCAUGUUAAUUAUGUGGACCUUCAGUCCUGAGAUAAUGUUAAUAGGAACAUGAAUGAUCAGAUUAGUGUUUUCAUUUUUAAGUAGACUUUUUGUUGAAGUAUAACAUAUGUAGAGAACAGAGACAAAUUAUAAGUGUGCAGCUUGGUGAAUUUUCACAAAGUCAGCACACCCGUGUAACCAGUACCCAAAUCAACAAACAGAAGCCCCAGCACUCCAGAAUUCCCUCAGUCAUUAUCUCUGUUUCCCCAGGGUUACCAGUAUCUUGACUUCCAACCUUCACACAUCAAUUUUGAACUUUCUGUAUAUGGAAUUAUAAAGUAUGUAGUUUUUGGUUUCUGAUUUACUUUUCUCAACAUCAUGUCUAUGAGAUUUAUUCACAUUGCUGCACAUUUUAGCUCUGUUGCUUCUAGGGUUCCAGUGCAUCUUUUCCACUGUAAUGGACACUUGGGUUGUGUACGCAUUGGUGUUAUUACAAACAAUGCUGCAAGGACUGUUUCUGCAUGUGUUACUUGGUGAACAUAGUGUAUGUAUGGAUUUCUGUUGGGUAUAGUUAAUGUUUUAAAAGGACAUUGCAGUAUCUGUGGGCGGUAUAGAGGGAAAGCAAGAGCAGACGUGGAGAAACAUGGAGAAUCUAUUGUAGUAGUCCAGUUACUGAGGUGAUGGCGGCUCAGACUAAGGCGGUGGCAGUGAUGAUGGCAAAUUGAUGGACGACAGAGGAAUUUAGGAGCAUUGUCAAGACUAAGCUGCUGAUUGGAUAUAGAGGAUGAAAGAGGGGCAGAUGUCAAUAAUAAUUCCAAGGUUUUUGGCCUGUUCAGUGUGGAAAUUGGUAUUUAAUUCAUUGUUAAGCUGUUCUGGUUUUAUUAACUUUGAUGUAAUUUGUGGAAGUAUAUGAGUUCUGCUUGAAUGCAGAACUGUGAAUUAAAAAAAAAAAAGGAAUGAUUUUAGAAAGUCAACUAAAAUCCGGCAUAAUUAUUUGCAUACAAUUUUUACAGAUUAAAAACUUGUUCAAAUAACAGGUAGAUGGAGAAGGACUACAUUUCUGUUCCUAAAGGAAUUCAAGCAUUUUCACUUCCGUCAUGGGUUGAUAGAGAUUGAGUUAUUUUGCUUGAUGACUGGAUAUUGUGUAAAAUGAAUUGUUCUUAAUUCAAUUUCUUAUAGACCAAUGCUUCCAUCCCACAAAUCGCUAUUGCAGUAGCUACCUUAUUGGCAGUCUUAGCAAGGAAGGGCUGAAGCUGAAUGAGCAAAAACUCAACCAUAGAUUUCUUCCUGAGCAUGGAUCUGAAUACAGGUUGUGAUGCUAAGUAGAAAGCAGUAUGGGGACUUCCACUACCUUAGUUGUUAAAAUAAGAAUUUUGUUUUCACAACAUCAAAACUACAAUCGACCUCUUACUAAAACACAGGAUAAUAAGAAAUAUGUGUUGCAGAGAUUCGUAGAGUUGCAUUUAAUGCUACAUUAAAAUAAUUUGAUGUACUUAAAUUUUUUUCUGUGCUUUCUCUUUUAAAAUUAUAAUAUAUUGUCUAUGGAAAAAGAAAAUAGCUAAAUUUAAAGCCAGGUGAAACCCGUGUUUUAUAUGUCAAUGAUUUUAUUCCAAUAGUAUGAUACUGUCAUUGAAAAAAAUUCUGAUUUUCCUUAUCUUUAAGUCUUGCAGCUGGUUGUGAUUUAACGUCAUGACACUUUAUUUUUAUUGUAUUAGUAAUCUACUCUUUUGUCUAUGAUACAAAGUUCUUACUUCGCCCCGGAGAAUUUUCUGUACGAUUCCUGUGUUUCUUUUCACUGAUAUGGCCCCCUGGAGAGAGUACUGGGUACCAGGGAAGACAUGAGUAUGGAAAACCUGGUCUUUACUCCCAUAUCCCCCAGUGUUAUAAGUAUGGUGAGGAUACAACCCUAACACACACCUUUUCUUAAUUUAAACCAUGCAGUAUCCCCUUGUUAUGUUCAAACAGCUGCGUCUUGAUCUAUGUACAGGUUUGCAUGAGCACAGUUGAAUGUUCUGGAAUUCCCAAUCUUUGCCAUGUUAACCAUAAUUUGUUAUGAUCCACAUAGUCGAUGCCUUUGCAUGGUCAAUAAAACACAGGUAAAGAUCUUUCUGGUAGUCUCUACUUUCAGCCAAAUCCAUAUGACAUCAGCAAUGAUACCCUCGUUUCACAUCCUCUUCUGAAUCUUGCUUGAAUUUCUGGCAGUUCUCUGUUAAUGUAUGGCUACAGCUGUUUUUGAAUUAUCUUCAGCAAAAUUUUGCUUGCGUGUGAUAUUAAUGAUAUUAUUUGAUAAUUUUUGCAUUCCAUUGGAUCACCAUUCUUUGGAACUUUGGAAUGGGCAUGAAUAUGGAUUUCUUCUAGUCAGUUAGCCAGGUAGCUGUCUUCCCAAUUUCUUUAUAUACAUAUAGAUCGAUCAAUCUGUCUGUCUGCCUAUCUAGCUGUCUAUACCUAACAGCAUUAGGAUUGGAGGAAGACUCAUUAACAACCUGUGAUUUGCAAAUGACACACCUUUGCUUGCUGAAAGUGAGGAGGACUUGAAGCACUUACUGAUGAAGAUCGAAGGCUACAGCCUUCAGUAUGGAUUACAAAUCAACAUAAAAAAAAAAAACCCUCACAACUAGACCAGUGAGUACCAUCAUGAUGAAUGGAGAAAAUAUCGAAGUUGUUGAGGAUUUAAUUUUACUUGGAUCCACAGUCAACACCCAUGGAAGCAAUAGUCAAGAAAUCAAACGAUAUAUAGCAUUGGGCAAAUCUGCUGCAAAAAAAUCUCUUUAAAAUCUUAAAAGGCAAGGAUGUAACCUUGAAGACUAAAGUGUACCUGACCCAAGCCAUGGUAUUUCAAUUGCCUUAUAUGCAUGCAAAAGCUGGACAAUGAAAAAGGAAGAAUGAAGAAGAAUCAACACCUUUGAGUUAUGGUGUUGACGAAGAAUAUUGACUACCAUCGUUAUGGAUUGAAUUGUAUAUCCCAGAAAUGUGUGUCAGCUUGGCUAGACCAUGAUUCCCAGUAUUGUGUUUUUCUCAUCUGAUGUGAUUUUUCUAUGUGUUGUAAAUCCUACCUCUAUGAUGUUAAUGAGGUAGGAUUAGCAUCAGUUAUGUUAAUGAGGCAGAACUCAAUUUACAAGAUAAGAUUGUAUCUUAAGUCAAUCUCUUGAGAUAUGAAAGAGAAAUGAGCAGAAAGACAUGGGCACCUCAUACUAUCAAGAAAGCAGUGCUGGAAAUGGUGUGCAUCCUUUGGACUCAGGGUCCCUGUGCUGAGAAACUCCUAGACAAGGGGGAGAUUGAUGGCAAAGACUUUCUCCCAGAGCUGACAGAGAGAGAAACCCUUCCCCUGGAGCUGACUCCCUGAAUUUGAACUUUUAGCCUCUAGACUGUGAGAGAAUAAAUUUUUGUUUGUUAAAGCCAUCCUCUUGUGGUUUUUCUGUUAUAGCAGCUCUAGACGACUAAGACAACCAUAGACUGUCAGAAGAAUGUAAAAUCUGUCUUGGAGGAAGUACAGCCAGAAUGCUUCUUAGAGAUGAGAAUGAUGAGACUUCAUCUCACUUACUUUGACAUGUUAUCAGGAGGGACGAGUAUCUGGAGAAGGAUAUCAUACUUGGUAAAGAAGAGGGUCAGGGAAAAAGAGGAAGACCCUCAAUGAUUGGAUUGACAUAAUGGUUGCAACCAUGGGCUCAAUCAUACCUACUAUUAUGAGGAUGGUGCAGGACCGAGUAACAUUUCAUUCCGUUUUCCAUGAGGUCCCUAUGAGUUGGAGCCAACUCGAUGGUACCUCACAACAACCACCUCCAGUUUUAAAUAUACUUCAUACAGAAAGUCAGAAUAGUAUUAAAAAUUUAAAUUGUCUUGUUCUAUAAAAGGUCUGAUGAAGUGUCCAAUAUGCUGUUAUUGCACAUGUGAUACAGGGUUCGUUUCUCAGCAGGGUUGUAUAGUGUUAAAAGCAUUAUAUUACAGAUCAGGAAACCUGGGUAGUAAUUCCAGGAUCUCACUUUCUAGUAAUCUAAUAUAACAAUUCUGUUAGUUUCCUUAAGCCUCAGUUUCCCCAUCUAUAAAUCAUGAUAGUAGUAUCUGUUCUGCAGUUCUGGUGGGGUUGUUGUGAACAUCAAACGAGAUACUAAGAUGUAUUUUGAAAAAUUGAAAUGUACUCUAUGAAUGUACCAUGAAAUUGAUAUUUUAUAAUAAUGACUUGUAUUAGUUGAAUUGUUUUGACUGCCUGCAACAAAUUAACAGUGGCUUGAAAAAGAUUGAAUUUUCUGUCUCUUCCUUGGAACAGUAUGAUCUGCACAGUUAUCAGGAUCAGUCUUCUUUUAUCUUGUUGUUUUGCAGUCCCUAGGCAUUUGCUAUCAUUUGUGAGGUCAAAGGUGGUUUAUCACCUUGUCCAAGUUCCAGCCAGUAGCAUGAACGAAGCAAGAGGAAUGGAAGGGCCAUUCCUUUCCUUUAAAAGACACACAUCACUUCCUCCCACAUGCCAUUCAUAGAACGAACCCACAGGGCCUUAUCCAGCUGCUGGGGAGGCUGGGGAAUGUGGUGUUUAUUCUGGCAUUCAUCUAUCUACUUAGUUAAAAAUUAUAGGCACUACUACCACAUAAAGAGGGGCCAACAGAUAUUGGGGUACAAUUAGAAAACUGUCACAUGAAUUGAGAAGAAUAACAUUAGGUCUUUAACUUUUAACCUUAAAAGAUAUAUGUUAGAACAGCACUGUCACAUUUAAUAUCUAAUAUCUAAAAAGAAACAAAGAACCCGAAACCCGUUGCUGUCCAGUUGAUUCCGACUCAUAGCGGUACUCUGCGUUAAAGUGUAGAACUGUUUCAUAGGGUUAUCUUGGCUGUAAUCUUCAUGGGAUCAGAUCACCAGGCCUACCUUCUGUGGCACCACUAGGUGGGUUCGAAAUCCUAACCUUUAGGUUAGUAGUUGAGAACAAACUAUUUGCGCCACACAGAAGUGAUAAAGAAACAGAUGAAUGUAAUUUUAAAAAUAAUUUUUCUUUAUCCCAGUAUAUCCAAAAUAUUUUAUUUCAUAUGCAAUCAAUAUAAAAUUAUUAAUGUGAUAUUUUACAUUUUUUCUAUAUUACAUCUUUGAAAUCAAGUGUAUAUUUUCCAGUUACAUCUCAUCUCAGUUUAAAUUUGCCACAUUUGAUGAACUCAAUAGCCACAUGUAUAUUGGGCAAUGCAGCUCUAGGAAGAAGUAUUGACAAAUGUUAUAUGGUAACAAUGGAGGAGAAUAAACCUUCUUCCUUAUUUCCUGUUGUUUUACAUUUCACAUAAUUUUCAGUUUAUUUAUUCAGUCAAAAAAUACUAAGUACCUUCUAUAUCCUAGACACUGUACUAGGCACUCAGGAUACAACCGUGAACAAAACUAACAAUGUCCCUGUGCUAAUGGAGCAUAUAUCCUAGUGGGGGAGAGUCACACAAAAAAUAAACAAGUAGAUAUUUAGCAUAUGUGAUGGUUAAGGUUGUGUGUCAGCUUGGCUGGGCCGUGAUUCUCAGUGGUUUGGCAGUUACGUAAUGAUGUGGUUUGGCAGUUAUGUUAUGAUGUAGUCAUCCUCCAUGAUGUGAUCUGAUGUGAUCACCCAAUCAGUUAUAAGGGGAGUUUCCUCAGGAGUGUGGCCUGUAUCCAGUAUGUAUAUAGAUGUUCUGGCUAAGCUUGCAUACUUGCUCUUCAUCCUGCAUCUGGCUUGUCAUCAUCUGACCUCCAGUUCUUGAGACUUGAGCCAGCAACCUGCUGUAUUGCCUGCUGAUCCUGGGAUUUGUCGACUUCUGCAGCCUAUGAGCCAGCAGCCAGUCACCUUACCUGCCAGUCUUGGAUUCAGCGGCCUGCUGUCUGAUCUGCCAAUCUUGGGUUCAUCAGCCCCGGCAGCUACAUGAGUCUGGAGAAGCCUCCAGCCUGAUGCCUGACCCAUGGACUUGGGACUUGCCAGCCUUUAUAACUGUGUUAUGCUGAUGAAGAAGAAUCAGCAAAAGGGACAGAAAAAGAGUGGCUGGUAAGGUAAGAGGAGAAUCAAGAGCGUGUUGAGUAGCAAAACCAAUGAAGAGUGUGUCAAGAAGGUGUAAGUAGUCAAUUUUUAUAGUUGUGUAAGAAGAAAGUCAAUUAAGAACAAAGGCAAAAACUUACUUUUAGUUUUAGCAACAUGGAAGUCAUUGGUGGCCUUGACAAAAGUUAUUCUUGGGGACUGGAUGGUUCAAGAAAGAAAGCUGUUUCAACAGUUUGCUAUCUGUGUCCUUAUAUGUAUAUAUUUGGUCAACUGUUCAGUUGUUUCCUUAGGACUUAUUCAUAAGUUGAAUCACUAGGCCAAAGCAUAGAUGCAUAUGUCAUGUGAAUAAGAAUAUGGAGAACGUAGCAAUCAGAGUUCAGAAAGAUUCACAGGGUCGUGGAAAUGCACUGUAUUCACACACAAUCAGGCAUGGGCUAUUUGAGAAAGACAUAGGGAUAUGUUUUUAAAUACAGAUCCAGAAAGGAGACAGGUCCAGAGCCUUGCUCCAAUCAGUGGACAUUACCCAUGCUCAAUGGCAUUCCAAGUAGUAGGUAAAGGCCCAGGUGGGCAGGUGCUUGGUUUCAUGGCAUCCAGCUAAGAAGUAAUGCUUUCAAGAGUUAAAAACUCCAGCUGCUGGGAGUGCCGGGUACUCAUCUAUAAGGGAACAAAGCAGAAGCCCAGUUACUAAGACUCAUAGUUCAGGGCAGGGACCUAGGAACCAGGGACAGAGCUUGACCAGCCACAAGACAAGGGCCACUUAGCGUAUGAUAUCCCCAAGCCUAGAGUUUCAGUGGGGUCAAAAUUGUUGGUAUGAGUAAAGUAGUUCUAGUUGGGAAAAUAUGAGGAAGUACUGCAGCAAAGAGCUAUCAUCCUUGCACAAGAUUUAAAUAUAAGUAACGAGGACAGAAAAUAUCAUGGCACAAAUAGCACCAAUACGUUACCAAUAUAUAAAGGAUUAUUAAUAAGGAGUCCUGGUGGCACAGAUGGUUAAGCAUUUGACUACUAAACAAAAGGCUGGCAGUUUGAACCCUCCCAGCAGCUCCACAGGAGAAGGACCUGGCAAUCUGCUUCCAUAAAGAUUAUAGCCAAGAAAACCCUAUGGGGCAGUUCUACUGUGCUGUAUGGGUGGCUGUGAGUCGAAGUCCACUCGAUGGCACCUAAGAACAACAACGAAAACAACUGUGUCUUAAUAAGGUUUUCGUACCCUAAACUUCCAAAAUAGAUACUGGGGUCAGGGUUCUAUAAAAUGCAGUUACAAUUAGGGCUAAGUUCAAGGUUCUUGACUGAAGUAAAAAAUGCUGAUUAUAUAUAAAGAUCACUAGGACAAACCAAAAAAAACCAAACUCAUUGUCAUUGAGUCAAUUUUGACUCAUAGUGAGCCUAUAGGACAGAGUAGAACUGUCCCAUAGGGUUUCCAAGGAGUGGCUAGUAGAUUUGAACUUCUCUUUUUGGUUAGAGCCAAGUUCUUAACCACUAUGCCACCAGGGUUCUCAAUCCUGGAUGCACAUUAGAAUCACUGGAGUUGCUUUAAAAAAUCCUAAUGUACCAGCCUCACUGCAAAUCAGUUAAAAUCAUAAUCUGGGGAGUUGGAUCCUUCAAGCAGUAGUGGUAUUUAAGCUGCCAUAGUGAUUCCAGCAGAGUCCCUGGGGGUUAUAAAAGGUUAAUGCACUCAGCUGCAAUUUUACAUUCAGGAGAAAAGAAAAUGGUGAAAAACAGGUGUAUGAUCAGAGAAGUAACUUACAAGUUCUGUCAUUAUUGGUAUCAUGUAUGAAUUUAUAAUACUAGAUAAAAAGAAGUCAGAGAGUUACUGUGAGGAGCUUAUGUUUUGAGAUGUGUUUUUUAAUUAGUGUAUUUUGUACAUUUCUCUUCUUUUAUGCUUUAUAUACAGAAUAGAGCUUUCUAGGUAGUUUCAGAUAUAUAAAACCCAUUGUUGAGUUGAUUCUGACUUGUAGCGUCCCUAUAAGACAGAGUAGAAUUACCUCAUAGGGUUUCCAAGGCUGUAAAUCUUCAAGGAAGCAGACUGCCACAUCUUUCUCCCACGGAACAACUGGUGGGUUUGAACCGCUGACCUUUCAGUUAGCAGACAAGCACUUAACAAUUGUGCCACCAGGAAUCCUUUUCAGAUAUAUAUUAAUAAUAAUAAUGAACAAUUAUUGAGUACUUACUACAUAUACGUGAGAAACUAAGGCACAAAACAGUAAUAUAGCUUGUUCAAGGUCAUUUAUUAGGUAGAAAAUCCAGAAUUUGAAUCAAGCAGAAUUUUACUGCAGAUCAUUGUGGUAUGCUGAGUCUCAUCUACAGCCUUUAUUAAAGAGCCCAUGAGAAAUAAUAGGACAUGAAUCUAAAAGUAUUAAAACUUUGAGUUUCAAUAUUCCUCUGUGUGAUAAUUUUGCCAUUUAUCUUUUCUGACAAUGAUACAUGCAUGGAUAAAACUUGAUCGGGAAGGAGAUCUUUUGUUGGAAAAAAAUUGAAGGGAAAGAACAUUCAAGGGUGUGAAGCUCUUCUGAAGAAGGAGUUGAAUGAAAACUGAGGAAGGUCUUCAAGUCUUUGGUGGAAUAAAUGUCAGAAGGUUAGAUUCCUACUAAAAUAAAAUUUUCAAACAUAUAGAUUUGUUAUUAUGUGCCAAAGUUUAACUUAAUGGAGGAACCAGCCAGAAGACAGAGGAGGGUGUUUCAAAAGGUGUUGAGGGAUUCCUGUUGGUAGCCAUCCGAUUCAGCCCUCAAUUCAUGGUGCAUAAAAUUGUUGGGGAAAUGAUUGCCUAAAUAAAAUUGCUGAAUUGCCUAUAAGACUUAUUCCCCCCUUUUUUUUUUACUUGUACACCAAUGUUCACUGCAGCAUUAUUCACAAUAGCCAAAAGGUGAAAACAACCCAAAUGUCCAUCAACAGGUAAAUGGAUAAACAAAAGGUGGUAUAUCCACACAAUGGAAUAUUAUUCAGCCAAAAAGAGAAAUGAAGUUCUGAUACGUGCUACAACACAGAUAAACCUUAAAAACGUUAUGCUGAGUAAAAUAAGUCACACUCAAAAAAGUCAAAUAGUAUAUGAUUGCAUUUAUAUGAACUGUCCAGAAUAGACAAAUACAUGAGACCAAAUUUUAUCAGUGGUUAGCAGGGUGGGCUGGAGGCGGAAAUGAGGAGGUAUUGCUUUAGUGGUAGUUAAGGGUGAUGAAAAAGUUUGGUAACACAGAGUGGUGAUGGUUGCACAUACAUAAUUAAUGCCAUUGAAUUGUACACAUAAAAAUGGUUGAAAUAGCAAAAAAAAAAAAAAGAUAUUUCCUGGCUACCAUUACUCAACAUUUUGAUCAAAGAGUCUAUAGAAGAAUCCUGAUCAAAAGGGGGGAAAAGGCAAAACAGAAUUUCAAAUUCUUAUGGAAUCUGGGCUUUCUGGAGCUUGAAGGGAAAUGAGCCGCUGAAACUAUUGCCCUGAAAUCAUCUUUAAACCUUAAACUAAAAAUACUCCCCGAAGUCUUCUUAAAACCAAACAAUAGUUUAGCUUAGCUAGUAAAGAACAUUUGCCUUGAGCGUUGUUCUCUUCUAAGAUCUAUUUAUACAGGAUCAAAUUGACAACAGCAACUUGAAAGAUUAUAUAGGAACCUUAGGGGGCAGUGAGUUUAUAUUAGUGGGGGAGGGACAACUCGGAAAAGGAGGGUGAGAAUGGCUGCACAACUUGAAGAACGUCAUCGAUGACACUGAAUUCACAUGUAGAAAAUAUUGAAUUGGUGUAUGUUCUGCUGUGUAUAUUCUCAACAACAAAAAUAAAAUAAAUUAUUUAAAAAAAGAAAAUCCAGAAUUGGGUCUUCACCAAUCUGAUAGGAGAGAAAUGGCAUCCAGUUAUUUAAAUUUGCAUUUCUUUGAUCAUUAAUGAUUGAAUAGUUUCCUUUGUCAUUGUGUGCUUUGCUCACUUGUCUCCUUUGGGUGUUGGUGGUUUCUUUCUUAUUGGUUGGUAAGACCACUAACCUUUUGUCAUAUUUGUCACAAUCAUUUUAUUCUAUGUUGUUACCUGCUUUUUAAGAUUUCUAUUUGCAGUGUUUUUUGGCACACUGAAGUUUAACGUUUUUUAAUUGUCUUAGUUAUCUAGUGCUGCCAUAACAAAUAUACCACAAGUGGGUGGCUUUAACACACAGAAAUUUAUUUUCUCACAGUUUAGGAGGCUAGAGGUCUGAAUUCAGGGCGCUGGCUCUCGGGGAAGGCUUUAUCUCAGUUCACUUUGGGAGAAGGUCCUUAUUCCUUGGCUCCUUGGUGAUCUUCGUGUUGCAUGGCAUCUAUCCUCUCCAUCUCUGCUUGCUCUGCUGUCCUAAUCUGCUCCUUUUGUAUCUCAAAGGUCAUUGGCUUAAAACACACCCUACACUGAUAUGGCCUCUGUAACAUAACAAAGAAAACCCAUUUCCAAAUGGGAUGAUAACCAGAAAUAUAGAAAUUAGGAUUUACAGCAUAUUUGAACUAAAAAAAAAAAAAAAAAAAAAAUUGGGGGGGGGACAUAAUUUAAUUUGUUACAUUAGUAUUCUAUACAGUGGAAUAUUGUUCAGCCAUAAAGAGAAAUGAAGUUCUGAUACAUGCUAUGACAUGAAUGAACCCUAGAACAACCUCCAAUAACUCCAUGGAGUUGAUCCCAGUUUAUAGAUGAUGAAAAGAGGUUUAGCACCUCCAGUUUUAUAGGAAACUGAUUCCGGCCUGAGCGUUUGGCUAAGGUCCUUAAAGAGGUGAUGGUUUUUCUGUGUGCAGUUUAAUAUGCACAGCAUUUUGCCCAUGUCCUUGUUUCUGAUAAGCAGUGGUGGCUAUGUUUUAAAAGUCCUGGAAUUAGGGUUGUGCGAUGAUGAUGGGCUUUUGUUUUUGUCCUCUGAGCUCUUCUGUGUAUUCCUAGGUUUUAUGGGCAAGACUUUUUUUUUAUUAAGCUAUAACACCUUAAAAGUUAAGUUUCUUUAGUGUUAUAAAAUUUUGUUAAGUGUUUGUGUGAGUUAAGCAUUUGUUAGCCUUACAGAGUUAUAAAAUUCAUUGCACCCUUACUGCUGUUAGAAUGCUGUUCAAAUAUACCAAGACAACAAAAUUGUAUUCACCAGGUGUCUCCAGAACAAAGUUUCACUAAUUCUUUGGCUUAUUAGAAACUGUUCUAGGGUGAUAUGAAAAGUUGAAGCAAUCAGAAUUUUAUCUUUGCCGCAGUUUGUUCAUGUGUUUUAAAUUUCUCGUAUCGUAAUAGGAGUUCCUUUAUCUCCUGUCAUAAUAAAUCUCAACAGGUAAAUAUAAACCAUUUCUCAAAAAAAAAAAAAAAAAACCAAAGAAAGACACAAACGUGUCCACUGCAUAUUUUUCAUUUUUUAGAACAGUUUAAGAUUUACAGAAAUUUUGAGCAGAAAGUACAGAGUUUUCACAUACCACCCAGUUUUCCUUAUUAUUAGUAUCUUACAUUAGUAUUGUACAUUUCUUACAAUUAUUGAACCAAUUGUUGAUACAUUAUUAUUGACUAAAUUCUAGAGUUUAUUCAGAUUUCAUUAGUUUUUAUCUAAUGCCCUUUUUCUGUUCCAGGAUUCCAUCCAGGAAUACUACAUUACAUGUAGUUGUCGUGUUGUCUCAGUUUUCUCUUUGACAGUUUCUCAGUAUUUCCUUGUUUUUAAUGACCUCAAGGGUUUUGAGGAGCACUGGUCAGGUUUUUGUGUGGACGUGAGUUUCAACUCAACUGGAUAAAUGCCUAGGCACGCAAUUGCUGCACAGUAUGUCAUUAAGAGCUACGGCAGCUAACCAAAAAGUCGGCAGAUUCAAUCCACGAGGCGCUCCUUGGAAACCAUAUGGAGGGGCCUACUCUGUCCUAUAGAGUUGCUAUGAGUCGGAAUCAACUUGAUGGCAACAGGUCUUUGCUGCAAAAGGACAAUGUGGUGCAUCUGACUAGUUUGCCAUCUCGGCCAUCACUCAACACUUCGUCUUGAUUGCUGUAGUUUUAUAUGAAAUCAUGCGGUUCUAGGAGGCUAGAAGUCUGCACUCAGGAUGCCAGCUCCAGGGGAAGGUCCUUAUCACCAAUCUUCGCCAGUUGAGGAGCUUCUUAACACAGGGACCCCAGGUCCGAAGUACGCGAUAUUCUCCUGGCUCUUGUUUCUUGGUGGUAUGAGGUCCCCAUGUCUUUCUGCUUGCUUCUCUCUUUUAUAUCUCAAAAGAGAUUGACUUAAGACACAACCUAAUCUUAUAGAUUGAGUCUUGCCUCGUUAACGUAACUGCCUCUAAUCCUGCCUCAUUAAAAUCAUAAAGGUAGGAUUUACAACACAUCGGAAAGUCACAUCAGAUGACAAAAUGGCAUACAAUCACACAACACUGGGAAUCAUGGCCUGGCCAAGUUGAUACACAUUUUUGGGGGACACAAUUCAAUCCAUGACAAAGGUCUACUCAAGUCCUUUGCACAUUUUAUGAUUGAGUCAUUUGUCUUUUUGUUGUUAAGUGGUCUACGUUUUAUAUAUAUUUCGGUAAUUAGAUUCUUACUGGCUAUAUGGCUUCCUAAGAUAUUCUCCCAGUCGAUAGCUUGCAUUUUCACUCUUUUGGUAAAAUGUUAUUUAACUUUUUAAACUCAAUUUCCUCAUCUAAAAAAUGGGUAUCAUAAUGCUUAUCUCAUGGGGUUGUUUUUAAGGAUUGACAUUCUUAGUUAUCUGUAAUCUCUGGUGGCUUUAGUUAUUAUAAAUUUUUUACUGAGAAUCUGGUAGUCUCUAGGUAUACUGAAAAAUAUCUUUCUGAUACGGCA